rnacentral:rRNA from 1 species
UACGGAAGGGGCAAGCGUUGUUCGGAAUCAUUGGGCGUAAAGGGCGCGUAGGCGGCUUGGCAAGUGAUGGGUGAAAUCCCUCGGCUUAACCGAGGAACUGCCCAUCAAACUGCUUGGCUUGAGGCCGGGAGAGGCGAGUGGAACUGCGAGUGUAGAGGUGAAAUUCGUAGAUAUUCGCAAGAACACCAGUGGCGAAGGCGGCUCACUGGCCCGAUACUGACGCUGAGGCACGAAAGCGUGGGAGCAAACAGG